rnacentral:antisense_RNA from 1 species
ACCGACAUCAGUGAUUCAUUGCGUGACCCCUGACCGACCGCCAGAUACGCCAGCAUUCCCAGCUCUUUCAUCUGCUCUUCACCGAUAACCCGGGUGCUGAGUACAGAUGAAUGAUUGUCUGCCAGCUGACGCGCCUGUGACGCGAGGUAAGCUGCGUUACAGAUGUUCGGCGGCAUAUUUGCCAGGUCUUUUGC